rnacentral:rRNA from 1 species
UACGAAGGGGGCUAGCGUUGCUCGGAAUUACUGGGCGUAAAGGGCGCGUAGGCGGAUGUCUAAGUCAGAGGUAGAAGCCCAGGGCUCAACCUUGGAACUGCCUUUGAUACUGGACAUCUUGAGUACGGGAGAGGUGAGUGGAACUCCGAGUGUAGAGGUGAAAUUCGUAGAUAUUGGGAAGAACACCGGUGGCGAAGGCGGCUCUCUGGACCGAUACUGACGCUGAGGCGCGAAAGCGUGGGGAGCAAACAGG